GCGGGAGUGGCGUAAUGGGCAGCCGCGCAGGUCUUAGGAACCUGUGUCCGUGAGGACGUGGGGGUUCGAAUCCCCUCUCCCGCACCA
rnacentral:tRNA from 1 species